rnacentral:rRNA from 1 species
CUGGCGGCGUGCUAACACAUGCAAGUCGAACGAGAAAGUGGAGCAAUCCAUGAGUAAAGUGGCGACCGGGUGAGUAACACGUGACUAACCUACCUCCGAGUGGGGAAUAACUCCGGGAAACCGGGGCUAAUACCGCAUAACAUCGCAAGAUCAAAGCAGCAAUGCGCUUGGAGAGGGGGUCGCGGCUGAUUAGCUCGUUGGCGGGGUAACGGCCCACCAAGGCGAAGAUCGGUAUCCGGCCUGAGAGGGCGCACGGACACACUGGAACUGAAACACGGUCCAGACUCCUACGGGAGGCAGCAGUGGGGAAUUUUGCGCAAUGGGGGAAACCCUGACGCGGCAACGCCGCGUGGAGGAUGAAGCCCUUUGGGGCGUAAACUCCUUUCGACUCGGACGAUAAUGACGGUACGAGUGGAAGAAGCACCGGCUAACUCUGUGCCAGCAGCCGCGGUAAUACAGAGGGUGCGAGCGUUGUUCGGAAUUAUUGGGCG